rnacentral:rRNA from 1 species
GAUGAACGCUGGCGGCGUGCUUAACACAUGCAAGUCGAACGAAGCACUUUAUUUGAUUUCCUUCGGGACUGAUUAUUUUGUGACUGAGUGGCGGACGGGUGAGUAACGCGUGGGUAACCUGCCUUGUACAGGGGGAUAACAGUUGGAAACGGCUGCUAAUACCGCAUAAGCGCACAGCAUCGCAUGAUGCAGUGUGAAAAACUCCGGUGGUAUAAGAUGGACCCGCGUUGGAUUAGCUAGUUGGUGAGGUAACGGCCCACCAAGGCGACGAUUCAUAGCCGACCUGAUAGGGUGACCGGCCACAUUGGGACUGAGACACGGCCCAAACUCCUACGGGAGGCAGCAGUGGGGAAUAUUGCACAAUGGGCGAAAGCCUGAUGCAGCGACGCCGCGUGAGCGAAGAAGUAUUUCGGUAUGUAAAGCUCUAUCAGCAGGGAAGAUAAUGACGUUACCUGACUAAGAAGCACCGGCUAAAUACGUG